rnacentral:tRNA from 1 species
CGUAGCUCAGUUGGUAGAGCAAUUGACUCUUAAUCAAUGGGUCGUGGGUUCGAGUCCCACCGGG